AACGCGAAGAACCUUACCAAGGUUUGACAUGGCCGGAAAAGCAUCAGAGAUGGUGUGUCCUUCGGGGUCGGUCACAGGUGGUGCAUGGCUGUCGUCAGCUCGUGUCGUGAGAUGUUGGGUUAAGUCCCGCAACGAGCGCAACCCUCGUCCUAUGUUGCCAGCGGGUCAUGCCGGGGACUCAUGGGAGACUGCCGGGGUCAACUCGGAGGAAGGUGGGGAUGACGUCAAGUCAUCAUGCCCCUUAUGUCUUGGGCUGCAAACAUGCUACAAUGGCCGGUACAGAGGGCUGCGAGACCGCGAGGUUAAGCGAAUCCCGGAAAGCCGGUCUCAGUUCGGAUCGGGGUCUGCAACUCGCCUGCGUGAAGCUGGAAUCGCUAGUAAUGCCGUAUCAGAACGAUGGCGUGAAUACGUUCCCGGGCCUUGUACACACCGCGCAUA
rnacentral:rRNA from 1 species